rnacentral:lncRNA from 1 species
GUGGACACUGCUGGUUGGUUCCAUUUCUGUCUUAGAGUACUGAAAAAGUUGUAGCCACUAUUCUUAGAUAAUUGUUUCAUAGCAGUAAUUAUGAAGAAAAGUUUUUCUAACACAUCUCCAAAGCUGCUCUAUAGAGCUGUCACAAACAGGAUUUAGAUAUAAAGUUUAAACUCACAAUAGCCCAGCCCUUUAAGCAAACCAACGUGUAAUAUUAUCACUACUAGGUGAGCUACAAAGAACUUGUUUCUUUUGAAUUAGAAAUAUCAAUGGAAAGCAUCCCUGCUUCCUUAUUAAUAGGUAAUCCCAAAGCAUUAAAUGCAAACAUUAUCAGGACAUAAACCAUCUGUUAGAAGAAAAACAUUUUAUUUUAUUUGGCUAUCAUGGUCUUUUAUAACAAAGUUUUUAUCUCAGUUUUCCAGAUAGUAGUUCUGAAAUAGAAAGUUCAUAAUAAUAUACUUCUUCAUGGUAUGCUCUUCUUUCAGA